rnacentral:rRNA from 1 species
UGGGGAAUUGUUCGCAAUGGGCGCAAGCCUGACGACGCAACGCCGCGUGGAGGAUGAAGAAUUUCGGUUCGUAAACUCCUGUCGAGCGGGACGAAAGAUGCGCGGGUUAAUACCCCGCGCAAGUGACGGUACCGCUAAAGGAAGCCCCGGCUAACUCCGUGCCAGCCGCCGCGGUAAUACGAAGGGUGCAAACGUUGCUCGGAAUUAUUGGGCGUAAAGCGCACGUAGGCGGCAUUGCAAGUCGGAUGUGAAAUCCCUCGGCUUAACCAAGGAAGUGCAUCCGAAACUGCCGUGCUUGAGUACUUAAGAGGAUCGCGGAAUUCCCGGUGUAGAGGUGAAAUUCGUAGAUAUCGGGAGGAACACCAGUGGCGAAGGCGGCGAUCUGGGAAGAUACUGACGCUGAGGUGCGAAAGCGUGGGGAGCAAA